CGGGGGGAGCAAGCGUUGUUCGGAUUUACUGGGCGUAAAGGGCGCGUAGGCGGCGCAACAAGUCACUUGUGAAAUCUCCGGGCUUAACCCGGAGCGGCCAAGUGAUACUGUCGUGCUAGAGUGCGGAAGGGGCUACUGGAAUUCUCGGUGUAGCGGUGAAAUGCGUAGAUAUCGAGAGGAACACCUGCGGCGAAGGCGGGUAGCUGGGCCGACACUGACGCUGAGGCGCGAAAGCCAGGGGAGCGAACGGGAUUAGAUACCCCGGUAGUCCUGGCCUUAAACGAUGGAUGCUUGGUGUCCGGGGUUACAUAGUCCCCGGGUGCCGGCGCUAACGCAUUAAGCAUCCCGCCUGGGGAUACGGUCGCAAGACUG
rnacentral:rRNA from 1 species